rnacentral:misc_RNA from 1 species
AAGUCGUAACAAGGUUUCCGUAGGUGAACCUGCGGAAGGAUCAUUAACACGUAUCCACGUAUCAAACAACAAUCCGUGAACCAAACCUUCCCUGAUUAUUGAUAUAACCGUUCAUAAUAGUAACUCGUGAUGGUGUACUUUCGGGUACAGGUGAAAUUAUGAGCUAGUUAACCUUGAGUUAACAGUUGCAUCAAUAAUUGGGCCUAUUGACACUUAAGCCCCAUCAUGUAACUCCAUUCAUGGUACAUGUAUGGUUGUGCUUAGGUGCGACACACCCCUUUAUUAACCAUUAUAACCCUAUUUGACUGAUGUACAGUGAGUAGAGCGAAAGUUCUUACUCUGCUGAGAUUAUCUAAACUAAGCACAACUCUUAGCAAUGGAUAUCUUGGUUCUC